AGCUCCAAUAGCGUAUAUUAAAGUUGUUGCGGUAAAAAAGCUCGUAGUUGGAUUUCUGCAAAAAACGGCCGGUCACCUCUAUGAGGUUGUAUCUGGUUCGGUUUUUGCAUCCUCUUAGGAAACGGUACUGCGCUUCACUGCGCGGGUCGGGGCCUAAGACUUUCACUUUGAGGAAAUUAGAGUGUUCACGGCAGGCAAUCGCCUUGAAUAUGUUAGCAUGGAAUGAUAUUAUAGGAUCUUGGUCCUAUUUUGUUGGUUUCUAGGGCUAAGGUAAUGAUUAAUAGGGACAAUUGGGGGUAUCCGUAUCAUCGCGUCAGAGGUGGAAUUCUUGGAUUGCGAUGCGACGAACUACUGCGAAAGCAUUUACCAAGGAUGUUUUCA
rnacentral:rRNA from 1 species